AGAGUUUGAUCCUGGCUCAGAUUGAACGCUGGCGGCAUGCCUUACACAUGCAAGUCGAACGGUAACAGGUCUUCGGAUGCUGACGAGUGGCGAACGGGUGAGUAAUACAUCGGAACGUGCCCGAGAGUGGGGGAUAACGCAGCGAAAGCUGUGCUAAUACCGCAUACGAUCUACGGAUGAAAGCAGGGGAUUCGCAAGGACCUUGCGCUCAUGGAGCGACCGAUGGCAGAUUAGGUAGUUGGUGGGAUAAAAGCUUACCAAGGCGACGAUGGUUAGCUGGUCUGAGAGGAUGAUCAGCCACACUGGAACUGAGACACGGUCCAGACUCCUACGGGAGGCAGCAGUGGGGAAUUUUGCGCAAUGGGGGAAACCCUGACGCAGCAACGCCGCGUGGGUGAUGAAGGCCUUCGGGUCGUAAAGCUCUGUCUGGAGGGAAGAAAUGAUUGGGAGCUAAUACCUCUUGAUCUUGACGGUACCUCUGAAGGAAGCACCGGCUAACUCCGUGCCAGCAGCCGCGGUAAUACGGAGGGUGCAAGCGUUGUUCGGAAUUAUUGGGCGUAAAGCGCGUGUAGGCGGUCUUUUAAGUCUGAUGUGAAAGCCCCGGGCUCAACCUGGGAAGUGCAUUGGAAACUGGGAGGCUUGAGUACGGGAGAGGAGAGUGGAAUUCCUAGUGUAGGAGUGAAAUCCGUAGAUAUUAGGAGGAACACCGGUGGCGAAGGCGGCUCUCUGGACCGAUACUGACGCUGAGCGCGAAAGCGUGGGGAGCAA
rnacentral:rRNA from 1 species